UUCGGCCAUAUCGUUAAAGUAUCGCCCCCCCCCGUGCGAUCACCGAAGUUAAGCAACGUCGAGUAUAGUCACUACCUAGAUGGGUGACCGCUUGGGAAUAACAGAUGUUGGAA